rnacentral:rRNA from 1 species
CCUACGGGUGGCAGCAGUGAGGAAUAUUGGUCAAUGGGCGGAAGCCUGAACCAUCCAAGUAGCGUGCAGGAUGACGGCCCUACUGGUUGUAAACUGCUUUUAUACGGGAAUAACACGCCUUACGUGUAAGGCUUUUCGUGUACCGUAUGAAUAAGACCCGGCUAAUUCCGUGCCCGCAGCCGCGGUAAUCCGGAAGGUCCGGGUGUUCUCCGGAUUUAUUGGGGUUAAAGGUAGCGUAGGCCGCAUGUCAAGCGUGCUGUGAAAGGUCCGGGCUAAACCCGGGCCGUGCAGCGCGAACGGGGGUGCUUGAGGCCGUGGAAAGCAGGAGGAAU